rnacentral:misc_RNA from 1 species
AAAAUUAAUUGUAUAAAGGGAAGAGAAGGAAAGGCCCCUACGAAAACAGAUGAAGCAGCAGAGUGAGCACUAUUUACUGUCGCAGCAAGAAAUGAGGCUACUAAAUCCUACCCUUCUCUUCUUAUCAUUUAUUUUUCUUACUUCACUGCACAGACCCACCUUUGCCUCCAAAAAGUCAUAUGUGGUGUACUUGGGAGCACAUUCAGAUGGCCAAGAAUUGACUUCGAUCGAUCAAAAUCUUGUUUCUGAUUCUCACUAUGAUUUUCUUGGAUCAUUUCUUGGAAGUCGAGAGUUCGCUCAAGAUGCCAUAUUUUACUCAUACACAAGGAACAUCAAUGGUUUUGCUGCAACUAUAGAAGAUGAAGUUGCAGCACAAAUAGCUAAGCAUCCAAAAGUGGUUUCAGUCUUCUUGAACACUGGAAAAAAGUUGCAUACAACUCAUUCAUGGAGCUUCCUUGGACUCGAGCAAAACGGUGUAGUUCCUUCUAACUCAAUCUGGAAGAAAGCAAGAUAUGGUGAAGAUAUAAUUAUUGGAAACCUUGAUACUGGUGUCUGGCCUGAAUCAAAAAGCUUCAGUGACGAAGGGUUGGGACCGAUUCCUUCAAAGUGGAAAGGAAUAUGUCAAAAUGGAUCAGAUCCCGGUUUCCACUGCAAUAGGUCUGCUCUGUUACCAACCUUUUUUUUUUCUUGUUCUCCUUAGAUCAGUAGAUGCAGCACACUCUGCAAAAGGGCCCUCCUUUUUCGAACUGUGUGAUGAGAUAAACCUACCUCUAUAGUCAACUUCAAAUCUUGUUGCAUACUGGUUGAGCCGUGAUUCCUGAAUCCUGAAUCUUGAUCCUCACUUAGGUAUAUAACUAAAAAAUAAAUUCAAUACUAUAAUUUUUCUCGCUGUUGUGAUGGGAUGUGAUAGUGUUCUUCAUGUCCUUAAUUCCUAGUCAAUUAAAUCUCCAGAGAAGAUUAAAUUAAACCGUAAGGAGUUCAUUUAUGUUGAAAACAGGACGGUACACUUUCCUAAACCAGCCAAUCUCGUUCCAAACGGCCGAUUUUAUGGAAUAUAUGCUGCUAUAUUUGAUUUUCCAGAGUGUUAGUAUCCAUAAAGCAUAUUCAUUUGGAGUUUUCUCAUAAAGGAUACAAGAAAAUAAAACUUUUGGAGAUACCACUAAGUUAGCCUAUGGGUUGAAAAUGAAAGCCUCCGGAUAAACAAGUCUUCUCUCACCCGUGGUUUAUGAGUUCAUGUUAUAAUAGUACAAGCAUGCAGAUUAAGCUGGCAAUUGUGCCUAGGGUAUUACAACAAGCUAUAGAAUUCUUAAUUUUUUGCGAGGAAAAUGGGUGUAUAAAAAGGCUGAAAAGAAAUAUUGCGACUUUCAUACCUACCCAUAACUAAAAGCACCUCACUGCUCCUAUGUCGAGGUCAAAAUUCAAGAUCUUUUAUGGAUAGAGUUAAUUCAAUGUAAAUAUGCCGCCACACCAGAAGGUCAGUGACGGAUUUGAACACAUUUAGUUUGUUGUCUGAAAGCAGGAGGAAAAGAAUGUCUACACAAAUUUGGUCAUAUCCUAGACAGAAAUAUUGAUUUUGCAGUUCCCCAGUGGCCACUCUUUUUGAUACAGUGUACUCCAAAGUCAGGAUAAUAGACUAUUUUUUUAACCAUUACAAAAUGAAUUGCUCUAGAUCUAACUUUCCCCAUCUCCAGCAUUUCUCUGUUAGGGCAUGCAAGAGUUCAGCACAUUAGUUUAAAAAGAAGAAAUAUUAUUUUAUUAUUAUUACAAAUUUGUUUGCCGACCAACUCCAUGCAUUAACAUGAUGCAAGUUGCUAAUUAAGUUGAUUAAACUUCUAAUAUUAUAUAUGGCCAUCACUAUCAGUUCAUUAUUUAUGUUUCAUUAAACAGGCAGCAUGUUAGAUUAUGUAAUCUUGUUUGAUCAUAUAUAUUUUGUUUUGUGUCUUCUUGUAGUAUACUCCAUCUCCUAUUUUAAAAGAAGGAUUUUGGGCUGAUUCUUGAGCCCUUGCACCCAUAUUUGUCUAAAUCAUUUCUAAUGAUGGAAAAUUUUGCUCAUUAAACUUUUAUUUUUUUUGCAAUUAACAUACCUAAUUCCAGUGAGAAACCCACUACAAAUUUGAUGUAACAUUCAAUUUGGAGUAGACUUUUAUUACGAAAAUAAAAAUAUUAAUGUUUGAUUUUUGGUCUACACUAUGUCAAACUGUUGUCUGAGUCUUGCCCAGAAUCAUAUAAGAACAUCAAAUUUAAUGACCAAGUUAUAAUAAAUUAGUUUUAUAACAACUUGUUCAGUCCCCAUUAGAAAAAUUACAGAAGUUGUUAGAUUAGUUAGCAUUUGAGGCAUUUUCUUUUGGUUGUGGAAUAAUUUUCAUGGGAAAUUUUGUGUGUGUAU